GAUGAAGAACGCAGCGAAAUGCGAUAAGUAAUGUGAAUUGCAGAAUUCAGUGAAUCAUCGAAUCUUUGAACGCACAUUGCGCCCUCUGGUAUUCCGGGGGGCAUGCCUGUCCGAGCGUCAUUACAACCCUCAAGCUCAGCUUGGUGUUGGGCCCCGCCGCCCCGGCGGGCCCUAAAGUCAGUGGCGGUGCCGUCCGGCUCCGAGCGUAGUAAUUCUUCUCGCUCUGGAGGUCCGGUCGUGUGCUUGCCAGCAACCCCCAAUUUUUUUCAGGUUGACCUCGGAUCAGGUAGGGAUACCCGCUGAACUUAAGCAUAUCAAUAAGCGGAGGA
rnacentral:misc_RNA from 1 species